rnacentral:rRNA from 1 species
CCUACGGGAGGCAGCAGUGGGGAAUAUUGCACAAUGGGGGGAACCCUGAUGCAGCAAUGCCGCGUGGGUGAAGAAGCACUCCGGUGCGUAAAGCCCUGUCAGCAGGGAAGAAAAUGACAGUACCUGACCAAUAUGCCCCGGCUAACUCAGAUCCAGCCGCCACGGUAAUACGUAGGGGGCAAGCGUUAUCCGGAUUUACUGGGUGUAAAGGGAGCUCAGGUGGUAUGGCAAGUCAGUUGUGAAGACCCCGGGCCCAACCCUGAGACUGCAUUUGAAACUGCCAUACUGGAGUGCCGUAGAGGUAAGUGGAAUUCCUAGUGUAGCGGUGAAAUGCGUAGAUAUUAGGAGGAACACCAGUGGCGAAGGCGGCUUACUGGACGGUAACUGACGCUGAGGCUCGAAAGCGUGGGGAGCAAACAGGAUUAGAUACCCGAGUAGUC